UUGGUUUCUUGUCGAUGAAAACAACUUCAGCUUGAUUUUAAAUGACCUUUACUAUGCAGUCUAAACUAUACACACAGGUAGCAUAACCCAUAAAAACCGAGUCACGUGUAACGUGCAAUCGAUAUGAAAGCUAAAAUUAAAAAUGACGCGACACCUGCCUUCUAUAGAUUCCUUGUAUUUCAACGGGAAAUCCCUUUAAACAGGACGAUCAUAGGCGCUUGCGUGUUAAAAUAUAUGAGAAUUAACUAAAAUUAAAAAUUGUGGUAAUUUUCUGUUUAAUAGCACUAUAAUAUAGAAAACUAUGUAAGUUUGAAA